GCUUGUCUCAAAGAUUAAGCCAUGCAUGUCUAAGUAUAAACAAAUCUAUACUGUGAAACUGCGAAUGGCUCAUUAUAUCAGUUAUAGUUUAUUUGAUAAUCGAAUUUACAUGGAUAACCGUGGUAAUUCUAGAGCUAAUACAUGCUGGUUAGCCUGACUUCGAGGAAGGGCUGUAUUUAUUAGAUAACAAACCAAUAUUCUUCGUGUCUAUUGUGAUGACUCAUAAUAACUGAUCGAAUCGCAUGGUCCUUGACCGCGAUAAAUCAUUCAAGUUUCUGCCCCAUCAGCUUUCGAUGGUAGUGUAUUGGACUACCAUGGCUUUAACGGGUAACGGAGGAUUAGGGUUCGAUUCCGGAGAGGGAGCCUGAGAAACGGCUACCACAUCUAAGGAAGGCAGCAGG
rnacentral:rRNA from 1 species